rnacentral:rRNA from 1 species
GAUGAACGCUGGCGGCGUGCCUAAUACAUGCAAGUCGAGCGAACAGACGAGGAGCUUGCUCCUCUGACGUUAGCGGCGGACGGGUGAGUAACACGUGGAUAACCUACCUAUAAGACUGGGAUAACUUCGGGAAACAGGAGCUAAUACCGGAUAAUAUAUUGAACCGCAUGGUUCAAUAGUGAAAGACGGUUUUGCUGUCACUUAUAGAUGGAUCCUCGCCGCUUUAGCUAGUUGGUAAGGUAACGGCUUACCAAGGCGACGAUGCGUAGCCGACCUGAGAGGGUGGUCGGCCACACUGGAACUGGUGCGCGGUCCAGAGGCCUGCGGGAGGCAGCAGUAGGGAACUUUCCGCAAUGGACGAAAGCCUGACGGUGCAACACCGCGUGGGUGAUGAAGGUUUUCGGAUCGUAAAACGCUGUUAUUAGUGAAGAACAAAUGUGUAUUAAACCAUGCACGUCUUUACGGUACCUAAUCAGAGAGCCACGGCUAACUUCGUG